rnacentral:rRNA from 1 species
AACGAACGCUGGCGGCAGGCCUAACACAUGCAAGUCGAGCGGACCCUUCGGGGUUAGCGGCGGACGGGUGAGUAACGCGUGGGAAUAUGCCCUUCUCUACGGAAUAGUCCUGGGAAACUGGGGGUAAUACCGUAUACGCCCUUUGGGGGAAAGAUUUAUCGGGGAAGGAUUAGCCCGCGUUGGAUUAGGUAGUUGGUUGGGUAAUGGCCUACCAAGCCGACGAUCCAUAGCUGGUUUGAGAGGAUGAUCAGCCACACUGGGACUGAGACACGGCCCAGACUCCUACGGGAGGCAGCAGUGGGGAAUCGUAGACAAUGGGGGCAACCCUGAUCUAGCCCUGCCGCGUGAGUGAUGAAGGCAGUAGGGUUGUAAAGCGCUUUCAGCUGGGAAGAUAAUGACGGUACCAGCAGAAGAAGCCCCGGCUAACUCCGUG